rnacentral:rRNA from 1 species
GACGAACGCUGGCGGCGUGCUUAACACAUGCAAGUCGAACGGAAAGGCCCUGCUUUUGUGGGGUGCUCGAGUGGCGAACGGGUGAGUAACACGUGAGUAACCUGCCCUUGACUUUGGGAUAACUUCGGGAAACUGGGGCUAAUACCGGAUAGGAGCUCCUGCUGCAUGGUGGGGGUUGGAAAGUUUCGGCGGUUGGGGAUGGACUCGCGGCUUAUCAGCUUGUUGGUGGGGUAGUGGCUUACCAAGGCUUUGACGGGUAGCCGGCCUGAGAGGGUGACCGGCCACAUUGGGAAUGAGAUACGGCCCAGACUCCUACGGGAGGCAGCAGUGGGGAAUAUUGCACAAUGGGCGGAAGCCUGAUGCAGCAACGCCGCGUGCGGGAUGAAGGCCUUCGGGUUGUAAACCGCUUUCGCCUGUGACGAAGCGUGAGUGACGGUAAUGGGUAAAGAAGCACCGGCUAACUACGUG